rnacentral:rRNA from 1 species
GACGAACGCUGGCGGCGUGCCUAAUACAUGCAAGUUGAGCGAUUAAGUUUGGUGCUUGCACCAAUUUGAAGAGCAGCGCACGGGUGAGUUACGCGUGGGUAAUCUGCCUUUGAGCGGGGGACAACAUUUUGAAACGAAUGCUAAUACCGCAUAACAACUUUAAACAUAUGUUUUAAGUCUGUAAGAUGCACUUGCAUCACUUAAAGAUGAUCCUGCGUUGUAUUAGCUAGUUGGUGAGGUAAAGGCUCACCAAGGCGAUGAUACAUAGCCGACCUGAGAGGGUGAUCGGCCACAUUGGGACUGAGACACGGCCCAAACUCCUACGAGAGGCAGCAGAAGGGAAUCUUCGGCAAUGGACGAAAGUCUGACCGAGCAACGCCACGUGAGUGAAGAAGGUGUUCAGAUCGUAAAACGCGGUUGGAAGAGAAGAACGGUGGUGAGGGUGGAAAGCGCAUCAAGUGACGGUAACUACGCAGAAAGAGACGGCUAACUACGUG